UCCCUGGUAGCUCAGAUGGUAAAGCGUCUGCCUGCAAUGCAGGAGACCCAGGUUCGAUCCCUGGGUUGGGAA
rnacentral:tRNA from 1 species